rnacentral:hammerhead_ribozyme from 1 species
AUCCAGCUGACGAGUCCCAAAUAGGACGAAAUGUCCACCAU